rnacentral:rRNA from 1 species
UAACGCGUGAGCAAUCUACCUUUAAGAGGGGGAUAACAGUCGGAAACGGCUGCUAAUACCGCAUAAAGCAUCAAAUUCGCAUGUUUUUGAUGCCAAAGGAGCAAUCCGCUUUUAGAUGAGCUCGCGUCUGAUUAGCUGGUUGGCGGGGUAACGGCCCACCAAGGCGACGAUCAGUAGCCGGACUGAGAGGUUGAACGGCCACAUUGGGACUGAGACACGGCCCAG